rnacentral:lncRNA from 1 species
UCAUGGCCAUCAUCAUACCUUGUCCUUCCCGUGCUUCCUUCAAUGUUUUGAGCAUCUCCAGUUGCACAACAUUCAUUUGUUCUCCACUUGCAUCCUCGUCUUGCCUUUCUGCGUUGGUUUGUUGUUGAUUGGCCAUGUAUAGUGAUGUUGAACUCCCUUCCGAAGCGUCUUUAAUAAGUGGUUGGUCAAAAUCCAGAUUUGCGCCUUGGAAUGCUUGAGUUACUUGCCUUGGAACUGGAUCCGGUGAGGUAAUGCUAUUUGUUGGUGAAGUGGCUCUUCCUGUAGUUCUCCCACUUCGAGUUGUGGGCAUACCCUUCACGAAUUCGACACCUCCCCAGCAGAGUCGCCAAAAGAAUGUGGGCAAGGAAAUCGUACCUUGCUAGGGUUAGGGUUUCGUGUUGGCUGAGGAGGAGAGAAAUCCACGAAAAGUACGGAAUUGAUUGAUUGAUUGAAGAAGGGAGAAUGACAGGUGGGCGAUUACUCCAACGACACGUGACAGAACUCCU